GGCUUUUCUUGGUUUUGGGGAAUUGAACUUGUGUCCUUUAGCUUUGCAGGCAAAGGUCAAAGCCACUAAGCCAUCUCUUCAGCCCAUGGAAAUGUUAUUAAAAGAAAUUUAAAAUCUUUCAGUAGUGAACAAUGCUAAAGAAAGCAAAAGGAAACAUGGAUAACUUUUUGUUAAGCCUUAAUAAGACCCUGUUGCUGAAGACACCGUAUGCUGUUGACACGGAACACAGAGACCUGGCUGGAAUCCAAAAGAGAGCCAGUCCUCAGCCCAUCUAGUGCUGGAAAGUGGCCAAUGAUGGUGUGAGCUGGAAGGAGUCUAAGCUACGUUGAAGCAACCAUCCUGACAAGAAGUACACAUCAGUACAGUGGUGGCACAUAGCCUUGAAGGUAACAAGACCCAAGGAGAUAAACCACCCUUCACAUCUCAACCAAGGCCCAAAUGAGGAAUGAGGGAGACUUGCAAGAGUAUUGCUUCCAUGGUGAGCCUGGCAGUCAGUGCCAGAGUCAAGGAAACAGAUGCUGAGAAUACUCAACAUGAACCAAAAAAGAAAUGCAGAGGCUCCUAAGAGCUCAUCACUGAAGUAGGCUUAAAACACACCCACCAAGGCCCAGGGAAUUUUGUGGAAAGAGUGUAAGAGCCACAGGUUGGGACAUCAUGUUCAAAGGCAUUGACUCCCUUCAACUAACACUGCUUCCACAACACGUAACACACAACCCCAUGGGGAAUACCAGCAACCCCACUGAAGAGGGCCUCCAACAGAAUGGAGACAGGGAGGAGGGUAAAGAUGGUACCAACACAUGAUGUAUCCAUACAAAGUAUGUUCUUAAUUAAAAAAUAAGAUAUACUUCUUAAGGCAAAAAAUAGUAAAGUGACAUUAGUAAAUUCAUAUCAGUACUAACAAUAAUUGUGAAUAGAUUAAACAGUCUUGUCAGAACAAGGAAAAUCAAGGCUCAACACUGUACAGAGACACAAUUUAGAUAAAAUAAAACACUGAGUUUAAAUGGUUGAGGAAACUAGCUGAGUGGGCAUGGUAAUAAAUGGUUGUGUUUUGCUUUUUACAAGUUGGUGAAAAUGUUCUAAAAUUCUGUUAAUGACUAUAUGGCACGCAUAUACUGAAGCCCUUAACUUGUGGGUGAAUUUUAUAUUAUAUGGAUUAAAUCUUAGUAAAAGUUACAAAGAUAGGAUGUUGAAUAUCUACAUGUCUGUCACAAAAUGAGUAAGUAACUUAUGGCACAUCUAGUUAGUAGGAUACUAUGAAUAUGUUGCAGCCUGUACUCAUAUCCUAUUUUAUAUUAAGUUAAAAAUUAAUAUGUAUAGUUAUGUGUAGUGUGAAUAUAUUUUUAAGUAAAUUGAUAGUUGGAUCGACAGAUAAUAAAUACAUAGAUAGAUUUUUUCAAAGUUAAGAAGAGAACUGAAAUAUAAAGCAAGUUGUUAACCUUUUGGAGGUAGAAUUGUACAGGCUGAAAGGAGGCUUUUUCACUUUGUGAACUUUUGAGGUGGUAUUAUUUGGAAUAAUUUUUACCUUUUUGUAUUUUUAAUCAAAAUAAUUUUUAAAUAUUCUUGCAAAGACUUGGCUUCCAGAAUACUUGUCAGACCCCAUCUAAGGAUGUCUGACUAUACUCAGGACAAACUCCAAUUCAUUUGAUACACUGAUAACUUAUAAUUAACUCUUCAUUUUUAAACAUAGCUUAAGGGAUGAGAAGUAAAUUAUCCUAGUUGUAGCCUCAUGCAUAUGUUACCCAGGAACAUCUCGUCUAGAUUUCCCAGAAGGAACUACCUUCUUUUCCGUGGAAAAUCUUACCUCUUGCCUUUACUAGACUUACAAACUACUUAAAAAUGGAGAACAAUAAAAAUUGAGAUAUCUUUCAACUGGUGCAUAGAUACAGAAACUGUGGCAUAACCAUUCAGACAAUGAAAUUCUACUCAGCAAUAAUAACUAAGGAACCAAAUAUGCAACAACAUGGGGAAAUCUUAAAUAAAUAUGCUAAGUAGAAGAAAUCAAACUCAAAAGACUGUUUAUUAUUUGAUUUCAUUUGUGUGUUUUCUGUCAAGGGUACACCAAUAGGAAUGGAGGGUUGGAGCUAUCAAAAGUUAAAGUGGGACUGGGGAGAUAGAUCAGCAUUUAAGGCAUUUGCCUUCAAAGCCUAACAGUGCUGGCUCACUUCCCCAGUGCCCAUGUAAAACCAGAUGCACAAAGUAGUACAUGCAUCUGAAGUUCAUUUGCAGUGGUUAAAGGCCCUGGUGUACCCAUUUUUUUGUCUCUCCUUGUAAAUAAGUAAAUAAAAAUUUUAAAAAGUUAAAGUGGUAGCAAAGGGGAUUUGUUUGUUAUGAUGGAACUUUUCUAUAUCUUGUUUUGUUUAUGUUGUAUGAUGUGUGCAUUUGUUAAAUCUCAUAGAAUUAUACACGAAAUAAAAAUUUUUAAUGUAUGAAAUUUUAAAUAAAUGUAAUUUUAAU